ACCUAUAUUUUAUUAUAUUAUGUCUGGACAACAAAAUGAUUAAAAACGAUCUACAUAGUACCAUAUAAAUUAACCAUAGAUUCUAUUUUUCAGAUAAAUAACCUGGAGCGUCUAACGUUGGCCCAAUCGUUAAAUGGUAAUCAACAUUACUUUACCAGAAACUUCAAGUACGAUGAUCUUAAUAGUCAAGUCGAUCACCAUUCUUCAAUCAUGACACUCGCUACUUACUCCAGAUAUGACGAAUCUCAAAGACAUCACCGAUUAUUUCGCUUGCACCCUUGCUACGAUGAAAUCGUUCGAGAACAUCCACCUUACUCAGAUGCGAUAGUUAAAAGAAUCACGAUUUGUGGAUAAGGUCGAGAAACUUAAUCGAAACAAAUGUUUUAAAAGAAAAACUAACCACGCAUCCCGGGCGAAUCCUCAUAUUUUUCGCAAUGCCGCCCGUCGGGCUCGGGCCGCGUACUCUUGUUCCCUAAGUGCAGGAAAACUGCUAUCGUCGGAAGGUGACUUGUGGACGUGGUGCGCCUGGGCCAGGUGCUGAAGGUGGUGGUAAAAUCGUCCUGGUGGAGGAGGCAGUCCACAUAGUCAGAGGAAAUCGAGACACGAUGGUGGUGGGCUCCGAGGGGACGACGUUACGGAAAGCCCGUAACUUGACUACCUAGCGAUGGAACCGAUUUUAUUCUUUUCUGUUGGCUGACCACAGUUUGUUACAUGAAGAGCUCAGAAGGGACUUAAUCCCAUCGCUACGUUCGCUCUCCUUCUUCCUUGCCGGAGUCCACCUCCCACGAGCAGACUGGCGAUCUUACUUUAUACUAUACCACGAUGGGCUAUCGUUCCGGAGAAAGUGAUCGGGAACGCGAUCCGGUCGGGCGAGCCUGACGGUUUCGUUCUCUUGGUAUUUACGCGGCUCUGUCCAGCGAAGGCGAAGUUCACGGGCCCCACGGCUGGACCAGCAUCGUUUUUCCUUUCACAUAUCCUGUCAUCGUUGAUAAGCGCCGGAAGGCGUACGAUCGAUGUCACAUCAAAUUUUGCCACUUGAUUGAGGAGCAUAUAUUAAAGUAAGAAAAAGUUUCUCCAUCUGUAAAAGACUAAAAGGAAUUGGAUGUUUAAGAGCUGAAGAAAAAGGUGUUGCGAAUAAUAGAAAUAUAGAAAUAGAAAUUUGUAUCAUAAAUUAUAGAAUCUCCAGUUAUAUUCCUUAAUCCGUAAUUUCUUUUAAUAAGGAAAAGUACGUAUUCAUAAAAGUGUCGUAUAGAAAAUCGCGGAACUAAUUGUUGCUGCUAGGC